GGCGGACGGGUGAGUAAUGCUUGGGAAUAUGCCUUAUGGUGGGGGACAACAGUUGGAAACGACUGCUAGUACCGCAUGAUGUCUACGGACCAAAGUGGGGGACCUUCGGGCCUCACGCCAUAAGAUUAGCCCAAGUGGGAUUAGCUAGUUGGUGAGGUAAUGGCUCACCAAGGCGACGAUCCCUAGCUGGUUUGAGAGGAUGAUCAGCCACACUGGGACUGAGACACGGCCCAGACUCCUACGGGAGGCAGCAGUGGGGAAUAUUGCACAAUGGGCGCAAGCCUGAUGCAGCCAUGCCGCGUGUGUGAAGAAGGCCUUCGGGUUGUAAAGCACUUUCAGUAAGGAGGAAAGGUUAAGUGUUAAUAGCACUUAGCUGUGACGUUACUUACAGAAGAAGCACCGGCUAACUCCGUGCCAGCAGCCGCGGUGAUACGGAGGGUGCGAGCGUUAAUCGGAAUUACUGGGCGUAAAGCGUAC
rnacentral:rRNA from 1 species